GCGUGUGCGGCCGACUGAUGCGUGAUGCAGAGACUUUUGCCAAUUCUCUUUAACUUGUGAGCGCAUUUUUUUUCUUUAAAGGGCCCAUCCAUAUACAUCGAUGGCUAUAAUGUAACGACUGACUUUUCAGAUUUCAGAAUAGCCUUCAUAAAAAUUUAAAAAAAUAGUGCCUGCAACCCUAAAAAUUGCUCAAGUGCGAAUCCGACUCGACACGAAGGGUUCCGUACCAUUGUACAAGAAAUAAUACUUUUUGAUUUUCAUGGCAGCCAUUGUGAAAUUUUUACUAAGUAUUUAGUUUUAUAGCGGCAAAAGAAAUACACAUUCUGUGAAAAUUUUUAUUCUGUACCUAUUAAGGUUCACGUGAUAUAGCCUGACAGACAGACGGACGGAGACGGACAGCGGAGCUUAGUAAUAGGGUCACGUUGGUUGGUGCUCUUCGGGUACGUACGAAACCCUAAAAAAGUACGCUCACAUGAAAAUGAAGUUAUUUCACAAACGGGUCUGCAAUCGCAGUUCCAGUGUACCUAUUUGUAACGUCAGUGAUGUUUCACUAUAUAUAUACAAAAAAUGAAAUACUUUGAGGUUUUAAUGUCACCUCAGAGAAUUAUUGACCUUUAAGGAAAUUCUCUGGAAUUUUUUUGAAUGGAAUUUAUUUCGUUGGCCGGCAAAUGAAAUCACCCCAAUUUGGAUGAUGUCCUUUCUUUACCAAUAACAACCCCCAGAGUUUAUAUAAAAAAAAGCUCGUCUGUAAAUAAAUUUGUAAUUCGCGAAAUAUUUAGUAUACAUUUUUUUUUUGGUGAAAAAAAAAAUGAUUGCAUUUAUUAUUAUUAUUAAUUGUACCCUCGGAAUGUUCUUGGAUGGUUCGUUUUGUCCAGCACUUCUUUUUGUUGUUUUAUUGUUAUUAUUAAGAAUUUUAACGUUGUUAAAUGCAAUAUCAACCAUGACUUAUAAAUAUGAAGAAAAAAAAAUAUGCUACAUGAUUUUAAUAUCUAUUACUUUGACAAUGAAUAUGAUUACAAUAAAAAAAAUCAAUAGGUAUGAAAUAAAAUCGAUUUAUUUUGUCACCAAAAAGGGCAAUCGAAUUUUAUUUUACAAAGACGGAUAAACUUAAUUAUUAAUUAUCGGAUUGAUUUUGCAUGAUCUAGUGCAAUACUGAAAUAUUAUGGGUACUGUAGUUUUUUAUUGAAUAAAUAUUAAUUAGAUUUUCCGUGAAAUUCUUUUUAAGGAUAUGUAUUUGAAUUUAAAAAUAAAAGAAUUAUCUAUGGAAUUUGAAAUUUUGUGUUCUAAAUGAAGGAAAAUGUUUUUAUUUUAUCUACUACAUGCGGUUAUUAUCAAUGUUUUUAUUUUUGAAAAUGUUUUCGCGGUAAUUUCGAGCGAAUUGUGCUAAAACCAUCUUAGAACUUGAAAAAGAUUGCCAGGGAUAUUACAUGAAGGACAGUAAAACCUUUUUGCUAUUUAUAUAAUCUGUGCCAAAUUUUAACUGUAACACUGGUGUAUUUCAAUGCCUAAUGGCGAAAACAUACUUAACACUCGACCUGACCCGAGGCCAAACGACGCGUAGUCACCGUAGUAAUAGAAAAUACAAUAGAAAUAAAAAGAUUAAAAACAAUGGAAAACUUAAAACUAUUAAAUAACAGUGUUUUUUUUUGGUUUUUCUAAUUUAAAUGUAGUUUCGAUAGUUAGUAUUCAAAAUUAAAUCCAUUACCAUUUUAUUUACAUCUAUCGACACUCCGAGCAUUAUUAUCCGAGUUUUGAAAAAUCGUUCAACGCGCCUAAAAAAGUUUCACUUUUACUACUAAUUUUUGAAUUGUCAAGAAAGUCUGUCACUGAUUCAGAUUGCCCCUUCUACCGAGAUUUGAUUUAACCAAAUGCCACUUGGUGUUGCCUCGGAUCGCGUCGCGUGUUGUAAGUCUGUUUCUGUCUUAAUACCUCUGAAGGUCUUUUAUGUUGAUAGAUUUUAUAGGUUAAUUUAAAGUCAUUGUAUAUCUUGGAUUUACUAUAUCAAUGCAGUUCAGUAGAAAAAUUCGUCUAAUCGAACUCUGUGUGGGCUCAGUCUAUAGAUUAGAUAACUGAAUAAAUAAUUAAAUACAUUACAAAUAGUAAAUACAUGCACUAAACGCUAAGCAUACUAACAUAAUAUGAAACUAUUACUAACAUAAUUUUUCGUGACGACUGAUAUUUUUUCCCCAUUAUUGUAUUUAUUGAAAUUAAAAAAAAAAAAACUAAUUUGAAACUGAAAAAUGAAAAGCUUUCUGUAAGUAAAAGUAACUUGCACCCAUUGCUCCAUCCCGAUCUCAAAAAAAAUUUUUUUUUUUAAUUGACGAUUUUUCUGGCACAGGCUCUUAAAAUCAAUCCUGGGUCAGACUCCCAUAAGAAUUAAUUUGGUGAUAAUAUAAAUUACGACUUCAAUAAAAAACACAAAUUAUACGCAGAACAAUGUUUUCGAAAUAUUAAAUAUUAACUGGUGGCUGGAUGAGAAAGGCUGAGGACCGGGUGUGGUGGCGCUCUAUAGGGAAGGCCUAUGUCCAACAGUGGACGUCCACAGGCUGAUGAUGGUGAUGAAAUAUUAACGUCAGAAUCUUAUAAAUUCGUGCACGUUGAUUUUACCAGUUAUUCAAAACUUUUUCAAUCUGAAUAAUUAUGUUAGUAAAAGCAAAAUAACAUUUAAAUUCUAACAUUGGUUCCUGAACGACUUCAAGCUCAAACACAAAUGCGU